CAAAAAAGCGCUUCAUAUUUACGGCUCCUUAUAACUUCAAAAGAAUCUGGUAGAAACGAUGGGAUGUGACAUCAAAGACUAUGUCACAGUAACAUUGUGACUUCUUCUUUGUGGAUUGUUUACUUUGGAGGAAGCCAUCCUAGCAGUGAAUGGAAACACACAUAUGGGGAGAAACUAAGGCUCCCUACUAAAAACGUGCAACAUGUGACUGGGACAUCUUGAAAUACGUUGUGAACUUCCCAGCACAUCUGUUAGAAAGGAGGUCCAGAAAAAGAGCACAAAGAGAAUGGUCUGUAUUUAAAGAUGUAACAGCUGAGAAAGCACAGUGUAAUUUUCAAGAAAAUGACUGUAGCCAUUCUGCUUGGGCUUACAUCUAUCAUUGCUAAUCACUGUCGGAAAAACUUUGGGCAAAUGACUUAACAUUUCUGUUCCUGUAUUUCUUCAUCUGUAAAAUAAGAAUAAAGGUUGUUACGAUGAUUAAAUGAGCUAAUAUGUAUAAAGUACUUAGAAUAGGGUCUGACACAUACAAUGCACCAUGUAUGUUUUUGCUAGGUAAAAACAAAUACAUUAAU
rnacentral:lncRNA from 1 species